GGAAAGGGGUGAACUUAACAUGUGGAAUGGAGAACUAUGAGCAUGUGAUAAAGGAAUACAUAUAUGGAAAGGUUAAAUCUGAUUGGUUAGAGGUUCAUGUUA